CUGGGUUCUGCUCACAGGGGACAUUGUGACACAUCACUGGUCCCAGCACCAUAGUGAUGUCAGUUUCCUACCAGAACUCAACUCACAGAGGGGAUACACAUAUAUCCUUGGUUCAGUACUCAGGUGAUGUGACUCUCCUGCCUGCUUCUGCCUACAGGCACAGUAUCCGACAACUGGGAUUGCCACUCUCACACAUGGACAAAGCCCACAGGGAUGAGGCCUCAUUAUGUUGCUUAGGCUGGAGUGCAGUAGCUAGUCACAAACACAAUCAUGGUGCAUUACAGCCUGGGCUCAAAGGGUCCUCCUGACUUAGCCUCCCGAGCCGUUGGGACUAAAGGGACAUGUCACCACACCCGGCUAUGUUUUUAAAAACCACUUUUACACUAUUGCACAUUUUUGGACACUGGGAACAAACAGAUUUUGACUCUCAAGAAAAAAGUACUUCAUGGCACAUUAAACAAUGAGUGAAUGAGUUUACAAAACACAAGAGGCAGGGUAGUUAUUCCAAAAUGACAAGAAACAACAUUGUGCCUUUGCUUUUGUUUGAAGAGAAAUAAACUGUUUCCACUCAAGUUUUAAAUGCCAAAAUAGCUAAUUACUGUUAAAAUGUCACCAAAAUUAGUAACAUUACUCAGAAAAUCAACUAUCUCCAACAGAAACAAUUUUAGUUACCUUUUACAAAAACUACGUUGUAACUUUCAUUUCUAAAGGUCUUACAUUUCCUGGGUAUUAUCAUAAACCACCUUGUUAGAUUUCAAAUUAACUAAUUCUAACCCAACCCAAAUUAAAAAUUGCUCACAUUCCAAAGCAAGAAAUACUAUUGCAGGCCAGGCGUGGUGGCUCACGCCUGUAAUCCCAGCACUUUGGGAGGCCGAGGUGGGCGGAUCACCUGAGGUCGGGAGUUCAAGACCAGCC
rnacentral:lncRNA from 1 species